GGAGGGGACAGCUUAGCGAUAAAGUGCGUGCUUGGCAUGCACGAAGUCCUGGGUUCAAUCCCCAGUACCUCCA
rnacentral:tRNA from 1 species